rnacentral:misc_RNA from 1 species
ACUAAGUGGCAUCUUUGCUCUUCCAUCCCGAGGAUAAGAAAUGGCGCCCUUUACAUUGAGGUUACAGCAUUCAACAGGAGAAGAGGAAACAGACACCGAAUUAGAACCUGAACGAUCGAUCGCAUGCCACCUCUGCAUCGUCGGCGUCGUCGGUGGGGGAGAGGUUUAAGAAUCGGAAUGUCACCGUGGAGAGAGAGAGAGAGGGGGAGAGGGAAUGACAACAAUCAAGAUCUUAAGUUU